rnacentral:misc_RNA from 1 species
GAUGGAAGAACGUAGCGAAAUGCGAUAAGUAAUGCGAAUUGCAGAAUUUCCGUGAGUCAUCGAAUCUUUGAACGCACAUUGCGCCCACUGGUAUUCCGGUGGGCAUGCCUGUUCGAGCGUCAUUAUCCUCCCUCAAAACUCCUGUUUUGGUGUUGGGCCGCGUUGGUCACCUCCGACCAACGGGCCUCAAAGACAAUGACGGCGUCCGUGGGACCCUCUUCGCAGUGAGCUUUUGUUAGCGCGCGUUGAGUUUAAAGGACCUUCCGGGCCGGCCACCUUUAUCUAUUUUACAAGGUUGACCUCGGAUCAGGUAGGAAUACCCGCUGAACUUAAGCAUAUCAAUAAGCGGAGGA